rnacentral:miRNA from 1 species
CCAGUGCUGUUAGAAGAGGGCU